GGGCUCGCACGUUUCGAUUUCAGGAAAUCGAUAUCGAGUACAAGUCGUGGGUGCCCGUUGGCCACGUUAAAAAACGAGCAAACAUUAAGUGCCAAACAGCAACUUAUGCGGUUGGCUAGCAAACGCAGCAAUGCGAUUGUCGGCUCGCCUGUUGAAGUGGUAGCCUAAAUAAAAGGUUAUCCCAGUCUCUAGUGAUUCUCGCUAGUUAGAAGACUGUAAAGCGAGGAAAACGUCUGGGGUAAGAUUCGGACGCAAAAGAAAAUAUCUUACUAUCGCCGAUUAUUAUUGUUAGCUCAGUGGUCGGACAGAAUAAGAACUAAAUAAACUUGUAGUACGAGAUAUUUAUGACUUGAAAGACUUGGCUCAAUGCCAACGGGUCCACCA
rnacentral:tmRNA from 1 species